UAGUGGCGGACGGGUGAGUAUCGCGUGGGUAACCUGCCCAUAGGUGGGGAAUAACAGUUGGAAACGACUGCUAAUACCGCAUAAGCUGAGCAAUCAGUAAAGGAGGCUAACGCUUCCGCUUAUGGAUGGGCCCGCGUCUGAUUAGCUGGUUGGUGGGGUAAUGGCCUACCAAGGCAACGAUCAGUAGCCGGCCUGAGAGGGUGGACGGCCACACUGGGACUGAGACACGGCCCAGACUCCUACGGGAGGCAGCAGUGGGGAAUAUUGCGCAAUGGGGGAAACCCUGACGCAGCGACGCCGCGUGAGCGAAGAAGGCCUUAGGGUCGUAAAGCUCUGUUUUAAGGGACGAAUAUCUUCAGUAGUAACUGACUGAGGAAUGACGGUACCUUAAGAGAAAGCCCCGGCUAACUACGUGCCAGCAGCCGCGGUAAGACGUAGGGGGCGAGCGUUGUCCGGAAUUACUGAGCGUAAAGAGCACGUAGGCGGGAUUUUAAGUCAGGUGUGAAAGACCGUGGCUCAACCACGGGGUUGCACAUGAAACUGGAAUUCUUGAGGGCAGGAGAGGAAAGUGGAAUUCCUGGUGUAGCGGUGAAAUGCGUAGAAAUCAGGAGGAACACCGGUGGCGAAGGCGACUUUCUGGACUGACCCUGACGCUGAGGUGCGAAAGCGUGGGUAGCAAACAGGAUUAGAUACCCUGGUAGUCCACGCUGUAAACGAUGGAUAAUAGGUGUGGGAGGGAUCGACCCCUUCCGUGCCGCAGCAAACGCAAUAAGUAUCCCGCCUGGGGGGUACGGUCGCAAGGAUGAAACUCAAAAGGAAUUGACGGGGGCCCGCACAAGCGGUGGAGCAUGUGGUUUAAUUCGAUGCAACGCGAAGAACCUUACCAGGUCUUGACAUCCAAAGAAUCCUGAUGAAAGUCGGGAGUGCCUUAGGGAGCUUUGAGACAGGUGGUGCAUGGUUGUCGUCAGCUCGUGUCGUGAGAUGUUGGGUUAAGUCCCGCAACGAGCGCAACCCUUGCUAUUAGUUGCUAACAUUCAGAUGAGCACUCUAAUGGGACUGCCCGUGACAAGCGGGAGGAAGGUGGGGAUGACGUCAAAUCAUCAUGCCCUUUAUGAUCUGGGCUACACACGUGCUACAAUGGAUGGUACAGAGAGCAGCGAGACAGUGAUGUGGAGCGAAUCUCAAAAAGCCAUUCUCAGUUCGGAUUGCAGGCUGCAACUCGCCUGCAUGAAGUCGGAAUCGCUAGUAAUCGCGGAUCAGCAUGUCGCGGUGAAUGCGUUCCCGGGCCUUGUACAAACGCGCCCGUCA
rnacentral:rRNA from 1 species